rnacentral:lncRNA from 1 species
GUGGGCGGCGGACGGCGGCAGCAGCAGCAAGAAGGCGGCGGCGGUUCGGCGACGGUCCGCAAGCAGCUCGUUGGGACGGAGGGCGGCGGCGGCUCGGACGGCGACGGUCAGCGUUGGUCGAACGGCAACGGCGGCAGCUUGGCUCGAACGGCGUCAGGUUGAAGUGGCUAGGAGGGCGAGCAGCGGCGUCGGGUCGCUGGUCCGAGCGGC